CAUCCGAGCCUUACCAUGCAGUCGAACGGCAGCACGGACUUCGGUCUGGUGGCGAGUGGCGAACGGGUGAGUAAUGUAUCGGAACGUGCCCAGUAGCGGGGGAUAACUACGCGAAAGCGUAGCUAAUACCGCAUACGCCCUACGGGGGAAAGCAGGGGAUCGCAAGACCUUGCACUAUUGGAGCGGCCGAUAUCGGAUUAGCUAGUUGGUGGGGUAACGGCUCACCAAGGCGACGAUCCGUAGCUGGUUUGAGAGGACGACCAGCCACACUGGGACUGAGACACGGCCCAGACUCCUACGGGAGGCAGCAGUGGGGAAUUUUGGACAAUGGGGGAAACCCUGAUCCAGCCAUCCCGCGUGUGCGAUGAAGGCCUUCGGGUUGUAAAGCACUUUUGGCAGGAAAGAAACGUCAUGGGUUAAUACCCCGUGAAACUGACGGUACCUGCAGAAUAAGCACCGGCUAACUACGUGCCAGCAGCCGCGGUAAUACGUAGGGUGCAAGCGUUAAUCGGAAUUACUGGGCGUAAAGCGUGCGCAGGCGGUUCGGAAAGAAAGAUGUGAAAUCCCAGAGCUUAACUUUGGAACUGCAUUUUUAACUACCGGGCUAGAGUGUGUCAGAGGGAGGUGGAAUUCCGCGUGUAGCAGUGAAAUGCGUAGAUAUGCGGAGGAACACCGAUGGCGAAGGCAGCCUCCUGGGAUAACACUGACGCUCAUGCACGAAAGCGUGGGGAGCAACAGGAUUAGAUACCCUGGUAGUCCACGCCCUAAACGAUGUCAACUAGCUGUUGGGGCCUUCGGGCCUUGGUAGCGCAGCUAACGCGUGAAGUUGACCGCCUGGGGAGUACGGUCGCAAGAUUAAAACUCAAAGGAAUUGACGGGGACCCGCACAAGCGGUGGAUGAUGUGGAUUAAUUCGAUGCAACGCGAAAACCUUACCUACCCUUGACAUGUCUGGAAUGCCGAAGAGAU
rnacentral:rRNA from 1 species